AUUGAACGCUGGCGGCAGGCUUAACACAUGCAAGUCGAGCGGGGUGAUGGUGCUUGCACUAUCACUUAGCGGCGGACGGGUGAGUAAUGCUUAGGAAUCUGCCUAUUAGUGGGGGACAACAUCUCGAAAGGGAUGCUAAUACCGCAUACGUCCUACGGGAGAAAGCAGGGGAUCACUUGUGACCUUGCGCUAAUAGAUGAGCCUAAGUCGGAUUAGCUAGUUGGUGGGGUAAAGGCCUACCAAGGCGACGAUCUGUAGCGGGUCUGAGAGGAUGAUCCGCCACACUGGGACUGAGACACGGCCCAGACUCCUACGGGAGGCAGCAGUGGGGAAUAUUGGACAAUGGGGGGAACCCUGAUCCAGCCAUGCCGUGUGUGUGAAGAAGGCCUUAUGGUUGUAAAGCACUUUAAGCGAGGAGGAGGCUCUUUUGGUUAAUACCCAAGACGAGUGGACGUUACUCGCAGAAUAAGCACCGGCUAACUCUGUGCCAGCAGCCGCGGUAA
rnacentral:rRNA from 1 species